rnacentral:rRNA from 1 species
CCUACGGGAGGCAGCAGUGAGGAAUAUUGGUCAAUGGGCGCGAGCCUGAACCAGCCAAGUCGCGUGAGGGAAGACGGUCCUAUGGAUUGUAAACCUCUUUUGUCGGGGAGCAAAAGACGCCACGCGUGGCGUUCCGAGAGUACCCGAAGAAAAAGCAUCGGCUAACUCCGUGCCAGCAGCCGCGGUAAUACGGAGGAUGCGAGCGUUAUCCGGAUUUAUUGGGUUUAAAGGGUGCGCAGGCGGAAGAUCAAGUCAGCGGUAAAAUUGAGAGGCUCAACCUCUUCGAGCCGUUGAAACUGGUUUUCUUGAGUGAGUGAGAGGUAGGCGGAAGGCGUGGUGUAGCGGUGAAAUGCAUAGAUAUCACGCAGAACUCCGAUUGCGAAGGCAGCAUACCGGCGCUCAAUUGACGCUAAUGCACGAAAGUGUGGGUAGCGAACAGGAUUAGAGACCCUAGUAGUC